rnacentral:misc_RNA from 1 species
UCCUGAAGACCUGAAAGAUC